UGAUGCGUUGUGCAGUCCUCACUACCCUCUGGAGAGCCUUACGGUUGAGGGCGGAGCAGUUGCCGUACCAGGCGGUGAUACAGCCCGACAGGAUGCUCUCGAUUGUGCAUCUGUAGAAGUUGGUGAGUGCUUUUGGUGACAAGCCGAAUUUCUUCAGCCUCCUGAGGCUGAAGAGGCGAUGCUGCGCCUUCUUCACGAUGCUGUCUGUGUGGGUGGACCAAUUCAGUUUGUCUGUGAUGUGUACGCCGAGGAACUUAAAACUUACUGUAGAGGUGAGCAGUGUGAUUGGGUAAAAGGACAGUCAGUUUGUAGAGGUGAGCAGUGUGAUUGGGUAAAAGGACAGUCAGUUUGUAGAGGUGAGCAGUGUGAUUGGGUAAAAGGACAGUCAGUUUGUAGAGGUGAGCAGUGUGAUUGGGUAAAAGGACAGUCAGUUUGUAGAGGUGAGCAGUGUGAUUGGGUAAAAGGACAGUCAGUUUGUAGAGGUGAGCAGUGUGAUUGGGUAAAAGGACAGUCAGUUUGUAGAGGUGAGCAGUGUGAUUGGGUAAAAGGACAGUCAGUUUGUAGAGGUGAGCAGUGUGAUUGGGUAAAAGGACAGUCAGUUUGUAGAGGUGAGCAGUGUGAUUGGGUAAAAGGACAGUCAGUUUGUAGAGGUGAGCAGUGUGAUUGGGUAAAAGGACAGUCAGUUUGUAGAGGUGAGCAGUGUGAUUGGGUAAAAGGACAGUCAGUUUGUAGAGGUGAGCAGUGUGAUUGGGUAAAAGGACAGUCAGUUUGUA